CGUAGGGUGCGAGCGUUAAUCGGAAUUACUGGGCGUAAAGCGUGCGCAGGCGGUUUAGUAAGACAGGCGUGAAAUCCCCGGGCUCAACCUGGGAACUGCGCUUGUGACUGCUAAGCUAGAGUACGGCAGAGGGGGGUGGAAUUCCACGUGUAGCAGUGAAAUGCGUAGAGAUGUGGAGGAACACCAAUGGCGAAGGCAGCCCCCUGGGUCGAUACUGACGCUCAUGCACGAAAGCGUGGGUAGCAAACAGGAUUAGAUACCCUGGUAGUCCACGCCCUAAACGAUGUCAACUAGGUGUUGGGAGGGUAAAACCUUUUGUACCGGAGCUAACGCGUGAAGUUGACCGCCGUGGGGAGUACGGCCGCAAGGUUA
rnacentral:rRNA from 1 species